CACCAAUCAAGCCCGGCUUGGUAUUAGGCGAGGAGCUCAUCGCUCCCGCCCCUAAGUCCUCGGCUGGACGGUUCGAUUCUCAGCGUUGUGGUCAUUCAAUUCGCUGCGGGAGACGACCGUCCGCGCCGUUAAACAUUCUAUUACA
rnacentral:misc_RNA from 1 species